CGGACGAGCGCACCCAUCGCGUUGCUCCCAUGGGCCAAAUCAGCUCCCUUCUGAGUUGGUGAAAAAUGUUCUUGGCAUUGCUGAGAUGAGGUUUUGACCUUCGUUUUGGAGAGGAGGAGCAGGAUCCUAACCGUUAGAUUUAUUUUCAAGCGCAAUGGAAAGCCCUGGCUAGAGGGAGGCAGGAUCGUCCCAGGCAGCGGAGCAAAGCUCGAGGUCUGAAGGAUUUCCUUGUGCACAGGAGAAGGUCAAAAGUACAUUUUAGGGCGCUUUUCACAAGCGAUCGUCCUCCCGACAUGGCGGCUGAGGGUGAGAUGUUUCAGCAGUGACUCAGAGGAAGAAGGUAAAUAAACACUUUUUUAUUUCAAACACAGGAUUAAAUUCCUUCAUGUCUGGAUCAUUCAAGGUAAAGCUCCUGUAAUCUCCUGGUCGUGAUCCGCAGCCCGUCGUCUGGUGGCUGCUGCCCCCGGAGCGGAUGGGACAGCAGAGGGACACGGCGGGGACGCGGGAGGCGGCGCAGAGGGCGAGACGCGGCCGGGAGCGGAGCUGGGCACCGGGGCUGCAGCUCCGUCCGCGACGCAGCUCAUGAGGAAGCUGGCGAGGAUCGUCCCUAGGUCAGUGAAAUCGUUCUGGGGGGUCACAGACUGAAGCUGAGGGGGCUGAGAUUUUACCUCGACUGCGUUGCAGGGGGGAGGCUGAGAAACAAUAUUGUGAGAAAUACAACUGUGGUAAGGGAGACCCCAACUCAAAGCCGCUGCAUCUGCAUUUGCACGUAUUUCUGCAUGCUCUGGAGAACCACGUUUUGUACCAAGUUCUCAUCCGUGCUGUCAAGUGUCCAUAGAACAACAUGCUCCUGCUCCCACCAGGUGCUAAAACCCCUCUCUCCCGAUCACGGGGGACAAAAAUAUAAACGGGGAUCAUUCCUGGAAGCUUCCCCUGCAGUUUUGCGGCGCCCCGAGCAGGCAGCGAGGGCAGGCGCGUGGCACGAGCAUCGCCGAGGGCCCGUGCUGGCUGCUGGGGCGAGCUGCAGAGCGAAGCCUCCGCCGUGAGCCGCCCCAGCCCAGCCAGCCCGGCUCGAGAAGGGCUGCGGCUCUCCGGCACAGCGGCGGCAGCGGGUGGAAACACGGGGCUGGCUCGGGGCUGCCAAAACGUUGGCAGGUUUGGCUGAGCCCGGCGGGAGGCAGGAGCCGCCCUGGGGCAGAGGGAAGGUGAUGGGACUGCAUGAGCAGGCAGCUUCUGCAGAAGCAAAUGCCCUGCAGCCAUGAACAUCCACGCACUGCCCGUGGGGAUGAUCUUCAUCCAUGGUACUUGCUUAUAAGAGAGGGGUGGUUUUUUUAAUUGCUUUUGUUGCUUUCUACCUUUUCUUCACCAAUUUUCCAAGAUGCUUCAGGUAAGCCUCGCCUGAGAUGUGGUGGUUUCAUUGGAGGAAUGAUGGGUCCAUCCAGACGCUCAGCAGAUGCUCCAAAUGUUUCUCCACUUGAUUUUUGGACAGGACAGUUAAUCCACAGCGGCUGCGUCCCUGCCGAAGCGUCUCAGCUGCCAACGACUCGUGCCGAGGGCUGCGCCGGCGCUGCCCAGGCUCACGGGGCCGCAGAGGCGGGGCAGAGCCCGAGGACGCUGACCGUGCCCGCGAGGUUCCGCCCUUCGCAGCGACGGUGGCGCCUUCUGGGGCAAACCCAUCGACGGCUACGAAGGCUGAGCCGUGCCGGGUGUUUGGCCUCGCUGAGGACCUAUUUUGCCCGUAUCAGAGUAAAGGAGAAGGCUGGAUUUGCAGUUCUUGGAAAUUCUGGUUCAUCGGACACCCGGCCGGUCGGUUCAGUCGGGUCACGCUUCCAAGGUCCCUUCCAGCUUUGACCUCCUUCUGGCUCCCCUGAGGAUGGGGACUGCGUCCCCCGGGACAUUUCCCCUGCGUGAGAGCUGGAAAUGGGCACAAGCCAUGCAAGCCGCGACCCAAAGACCUCUGAAGCUGGAGGAGGAAGGAGACAAGAGGAGGAGGAGGAGGAGAAGGAUGCCAUCUACUCAGAAUACGUUGGAGACUGCUGACCAGCUGAACUCACGUGCUGCUGCUUUGCCCCAGUUUACCUGCUCUUCACUGGGCUGUCUGGAGGUACAGCGUUGUGUAAAAUGUUUGGAGAGCAUGGGGUGACUCUGCAAGGUGCCAUUUAUUUCUUUCCAAGCUCUGGGAUGUCCCCACCGAGCCCGACGCCGUACAGGGCAGCGCACAACGUGCUGCCUGCGACUUCUGCUGCUCUUAGUCGUGUUUCUGAAAUCGGUGGAAAGCUUAACAGAAACGUUGGCCCAAGGUUAACAGGGCCAGGCAGAAAAGCUGUCUGUCCCGCGGGGACUCCACGUGUCGCUGCGGGCAUGGCUGGCUCUGGCUAUAUCAACACACAGAUCAGGCAAAAUUGGCACAGAGGGAAAUAAUAAACUUGCUGAAAAUUUAAAAAUACCGCUGUACUGUAAUCUCCUAAAAUACCAUUGUAAUGCUAAUGCUGUUGUUAGGCGCUGUUUUAUGGACCUUUAAUUAAGAAUACUGUAGUGGCUUUCGAUUUUGAAAAGCCAUCAUUGUACAACCCACGUAUCCCAGAUUUUAAAACUCCAGGGUUAUUUGGGGACCUGGCUCGUGACUUCUGCACAGUCUGGAUGGGCGGUUUGACUGCGUCCCUGCAGCGGCCGGUCAGCGUAUUGCCUGGUGUACACGAUGCAACGACAGAGAGAGCUCCCAUGAUUAUGCCUUCAGGUCAAUUCUGUUUCCAGAUGAAGUGUUGUAAAAUGUUAUCCUAUUUUUGUUCCUGUGUCGUAACAUGAGCAGAGGCCCUAGAAUUUAAUUAACCCAUCAUGAAACUGUUGAUUCAUAAUCAGAGCCGCAGGGUUUGAAAGCACAGAAGGGAACAUGCAGGCUUGUGUCCUCCUUUUCAGCAGGCACGAGUAAAAGCUGCCUCUCCAGAAGCUGCUGAGCGGCCUCGGGGUUUGACAGGAGGGGUGCUGCUGCGUGGGCGUAGGCUCCAGCCCUGCUUUCUAAA